UAAUGAUACUCCUGUUCAGUCACAGUCCGAGCGAGCAGCAUAGUUUGAGCGUGAGCCGUCGCAGGCAAUGAGAGCAGCCGAUAAGUAGAGAUCCUACCGGGGGUGAAAUUCCCGUG
rnacentral:ncRNA from 3 species